GACAACGUGGCCGAGUGGUUAAGGCGAUGCCCUGCUAUCUUUGAUCGUAUAGGCAUUGUGUUCGCACGCGCAAGUUCGAAUCUUGUCGUUGUCG
rfam:Nectria haematococca mpVI 77-13-4 chromosome 10 genomic scaffold NECHAsca_82_chr10_2_0, whole genome shotgun sequence.